GCUGGCUGGCAUGUCCAAGAUAGCAUGUCCUGACACGCGUGAUGGUAAUUAGAGGACUUCCAAAAAAAUCAACAAGCGCAGCAAAGAAUAAAGCCCUUACGCUUCCAGAUUCCUCUGUGUGAAGGGGAUCAUGGUGAGCAGCAGCUCUGAAGGCACGCCCUGUUGCCAAAAAUGGGAAGAGACUGUUUAUAUGUGCGAGGCACCAUGCCAGCCACUUCAGAGCCCACGAGGCAAGAAGAAAGAGAAAAAAACAUUCUCCACUGCCAAUUUAGAGAAUCCGAAGACAGAGUCUAAAGUGGGCCACUGUAGGUCAUGUCUCCACCACUGGAGCAAUCGCUGGUUCUUCCAGAACCAUGAGUUGGGGUCACUGGCCAGACAUGGACAUUUGACUAUACCCGUGAGCUUGGGUUUUGAGUUGGAAGGGCCCAGUGAACCACAGCAGGUCGAAAACAUGCAGGGCUGGAUUUAGAGGCGGUAUUUCUCCCAGGAGUGAAUGCUGCUACCUGACAGGUGUGUGAUGAGAUGCAAUUUUCAUCUUCCAUCGUCGAAGGUUCAGAAGGUACCUGGAAACAUCCUGGGGGGUGGGGGUGCCCCGCAUCACUGUUAUGAGAAGCAUUCUUCCCUGCCCUGCUCAGAUGGACUUAAGAAUGGAUGAAAACAAAUCAAGCAUGUUUGGUUUCCAACGUUAA